UGCGUAGGGUGCGAGCGUUGUCCGGAAUUAUUGGGCGUAAAGAGCUCGUAGGCGGUGUGUCACGUCGGCCGUGAAAACCUGCAGCUUAACUGUGGGCGUGCGGUCGAUACGGGCAUCACUGGAGUUCGGCAGGGGAGACUGGAAUUCCUGGUGUAGCGGUGAAAUGCGCAGAUAUCAGGAGGAACACCGGUGGCGAAGGCGGGACUCUGGGCCGAUACUGACGCUGAGGAGCGAAAGCGUGGGGAGCGAACAGG
rnacentral:rRNA from 1 species